UACAGGGGGGGCAAGCGUUGUUCGGAAUUACUGGGCGUAAAGGGCUCGUAGGUGGCCAACUAAGUCAGACGUGAAAUCCCUCAGCUUAACUGGGGAACUGCGUCUGAUACUGGAUGGCUUGAGUUUGGGAGAGGGAUGCGGAAUUCCAGGUGUAGCGGUGAAAUGCGUAGAUAUCUGGAGGAACACCGGUGGCGAAGGCGGCAUCCUGGACCAACACUGACACUGAGGAGCGAAAGCCAGGGGGAGCAAAACGGGG
rnacentral:rRNA from 1 species